GAUGAACGCUGGCGGCGUGCCUAAUACAUGCAAGUCGAGCGAACAGACGAGGAGCUUGCUCCUUUGACGUUAGCGGCGGACGGGUGAGUAACACGUGGGUAACCUACCUAUAAGACUGGGAUAACUUCGGGAAACCGGAGCUAAUACCGGAUAAUAUUUCGAACCGCAUGGUUCGAUAGUGAAAGAUGGCUUUGCUAUCACUUAUAGAUGGACCUGCGCCGUAUUAGCUAGUUGGUAAGGUAACGGCUUACCAAGGCAACGAUACGUAGCCGACCUGAGAGGGUGAUCGGCCACACUGGAACUGAGACACGGUCCAGACUCCUACGGGAGGCAGCAGUAGGGAAUCUUCCGCAAUGGGCGAAAGCCUGACGGAGCAACGCCGCGUGAGUGAUGAAGGCCUUCGGAUCGUAAAACCCUGUUAUUAGGGAAGAACAAACGUGUAAGUAACUGUGCACGUCUUGACGGUACCUAAUCAGAAAGCCACGGCUAACUACGUG
rnacentral:rRNA from 1 species